GUGUGAGGUAGCACACGGUCAACCCGUAGAUCCGAACUUGUGUUGAGAUUUUCUUCCGAACAUGAGGUCGGCAUUCGGGUAGACUGCGUGU